GCGUGGACUGGGCGGGAAGGCUGGGCGCAGUAAGUGCCCAACACUCGUGAGUUGUUGCUCGUAUAAGGGAGGAGAACCGGGUCCCCCUGCCGUGAGCGGGGCAUCAAGGAGGCUGGGUGGCUCCCCACGGCUCAUCAUCCUGAAAUGGGCUUCCCAACUUCGACCCUCCCACGCACACCCACUCUCCAGAAGAGCCCUGGGAGGCCAGCCCAAGUGGACAGUGGCCCUGUGGAGGGCGCCAGGUUCUGUUUGGCCCGCAGCCCGCAGUGAGCCCGCAAGAAAUGUUACUGAGCACCUACUGUGCGCAGACCCUCCGCCAGGCAGCAAGCAGGACGUCGGAGGCCCUGUCUGACAUGGCGUGGUGCUGGAACAAGGACAGCAUGACUGAACACGUGCUGUGCGUGCAGCCUCAUUUAACCCCACGGCGACCCUGUGUGGCAGACGCCACCAGCAUGCCCACUUCACAGAUGAGAAAGCUGAGGCUUCGCUGAAAAGCAGCAACACAAGAGCCUGUGCUUUUGACUCUUUCCCUUCCCUCCUGUCCCCUUUCCAUUUCUGUCUAUCUUAUUUGACAAGAAAGAGAACCAGAGAAGUCAGCACCCCAAAUGGCCAACAAUCGUGGUAUAAGCUGGG